rnacentral:rRNA from 1 species
CCCUUAGAUGUCCGGGGCUGCACGCGCGCUACACUGAAGGAAUCAGCGUGCUAAAACCAUUGUCGAAAGGCAUUGGUAAACCCAUUAAAAUCCUACGUGAUUGGGAUCGGGAAUUGCAAUUAUUUCCCUUGAACGAGGAAUUCCCAGUAAGUGUGGGUCAUAAGCUCGCGUUGAUUACGUCCCUGCCCUUUGUACACACCGCCCGUCGCUGCCCGGGACUGAGCCGUUUCGAGAAAAGCGGGGACCGCUGCUGUCGGGGCUUUCGGGCCUUGGCUUCGGUGGAAACCGCUUUAAUCGCAGUGGCUUGAACCGGGCAAAANUCGUAACA